rnacentral:rRNA from 1 species
AGUGAACGCUGGCGGCGUGCUUAACACAUGCAAGUCGAACGAGAACGGGUUAUAGCUUGCUAUAAUUGUCAGCUAAGUGGCGCACGGGUGAGUAAUGUAUAGGUAAUAUGCCUCUUACUAAGGGAUAACAAAUGGAAACGUUUGCUAAUACCUUAUAACUCCUUAUUAACAGAAGUUAAUAAGGGAAAGAUUUAUUGGUAAGAGAUUAGCCUGUAUUGUAUCAGUUAGUUGUGGGGUAAUGGCUUACCAAGACUAUGACACAUAACUGGUUUGAGAGGAUGAUCAGUCACACUGGAACUGAGACACGGUCCAGACUCCUACGGGAGGCAGCAGAGGGGAAUAUUGCACAAUGGACGAAAGUCUGAUGCAGCAACGCCGCGUGGAGGAUGACACAUUUCGGUGCGUAAACUCCUUUUAUAUGAGAAGAUAAUGACGGUAUUAUAUGAAUAAGCACCGGCUAACUCCGUGCCCAGCAGCCGCGGU